GAUGAACGCUGGCGGCGUGCCUAACACAUGCAAGUCGAGCGAACAGACGAGGGGCUUGCUCCUCUCACGUUAGCGGCGGACGGGAGAGUCACACGUGUAUCCCCUACCUAUAAUACUGGGAUAACUUCGGGAAACCGGCGCUAAUACCGUAGAAUAUAUUGAACCGCAUGGUUCAUUAGUGAAAGACGGUUUUGCUGUCACUUAUCGAUGCAUCUGCGCUGCAUUGGCUAGUUGUUACGGUAACGGCUUACCAAGGCAAGGAUGCGUGGCCGAGCUGAGAGGAUGGUCGGCCACACUGGAAGUGAACCGCGGUCCAGACUACUACGGGAGGCAGCAGUAGGGUAUGUGAGGCAAUAGGCGAGAGCAUGACGGAGCAAAGCCGCGUGAGUGAUGGAGGUCUUCGGAUCGGGAAGCUCUGUUAUGAGGGAAGAACAAAUGUGUAAGUAACUAUGCACGUCUUGACGGUACCGAAUAAGAAAGCAACGGCUAACUACGUG
rnacentral:rRNA from 1 species